GACGAACGCUGGCGGCGUGCUUAACACAUGCAAGUCGAACGGAAAGGCCCUGCUUUUGUGGGGUGCUCGAGUGGCGAACGGGUGAGUAACACGUGAGUAACCUGCCCUUGACUUUGGGAUAACUUCAGGAAACUGGGGCUAAUACCGGAUAGGAGCUCCUGCUGCAUGGUGGGGGUUGGAAAGGUUCGGCGGUUGGGGAUGGACUCGCGGCUUAUCAGCUUGUUGGUGGGGUAGUGGCUUACCAAGGCUUUGACGGGUAGCCGGCCUGAGAGGGGGACCGGCCACAUUGGGACUGGGAUACGGCCCAGACUCCUACGGGAGGCAGCAGUGGGGAAUAUUGCACAAUGGGCGGAAGCCUGAUGCAGCAACGCCGCGUGCGGGAUGACGGCCUUCGGGUUGUAAACCGCUUUCGCCUGUGACGAAGCGUGAGUGACGGUAAUGGGUAAAGAAGCACCGGCUAACUACGUG
rnacentral:rRNA from 1 species